CUCAAGAUUCCAGAAUCUGCAGUUUCUUGUUUAACAUCAAGAUGCAAUGAAGAUUUAACAGGUUGAUUCUUAGAAUGCAUAAAUAAGUUAUCUCUUAAAACGGUGUUGUAUCAAUUUGAUGUUGGAG